GACUACGAGGUUGAUAGGCGGGAGGUGCAAGCGCCGCGAGGCGUUGAGCUGACCCGUACUAAUAGGCCGAGGGCUUGACCUU
rnacentral:rRNA from 1 species